GAUUGGAGAUUAGAAAGAUUACAGUGGAAGAAUUAUAAGAAGUUACAUUUUCAACAAUUACAAUCCAAUCGACGUUAUUCAUUCCACAUGCGAUUUACACGUUAUAAUACAUAUACAUACGUAAAUGUCGUAAC